UUGGCAUAUCCAGGUCGACAUCUCUCUGUACACCUGGAACGAGGCACUGCCUAACCAGAAAGACAAGAAGGUGCAACAAAGAGGAACAGUUAGGAGUAUUUGUGGGUCUAUCCCCAGUCAAGAUCAGCAUCUGUGUGGACUGCAGGUUGCAAAAAGGGGAAGGAAAUACCUGCCACGGCUGUAGCCUUUGGGGUCCCCAUUGCUCUCCUUCCUCCACCAUCAGCCUCCUCUGGGAUCUAGAUGAAAGCGAAGCAUGCAAGGCCUGAGCCACAGCUUGAACAUCGAUGAAUACCCUCCCCCUUGGAGUCACCCACCUUCCUGGGCGGAGAAGGUCCCUUCCGCACACCGAGCACAAGCAUAGCAGCAAAUGGGCUUUCCUUCUAGAACCACCUUGGCAUAUCCAGGUCGACAUCUCUCUGUACACCUGGAACGAGGCACGGCCUAACCAGGAAGACAAGAAGGUGCAACAAAGAGGAACAGUUAGGAGUAUUUGUGGGUCUAUCCCCAGUCAAGAUCAGCAUCUGAGGGGAUUGCAGUUUGCAAAAAGGGGAAGGAAAUACCUGCCACGGCUGUAGCCUUUGGGGUCCCCAUUGCUCUCCUUCCUCCACCAUCAGCCUCCUCUGGGAUCUAGAUGAAAGCGAAGCAUGCAAGGCCUGAGCCACAGCUUGAACAUUGAUUAUAGAAUAAAAAUUUGGAGAUCUCUGCUCCAUGACCGGAGCUUUGAUGCAAACAGCACACAGAGCUGUUCAACAGUGGAACAGACUCCCUCCGAAGGUGACCAUGUGUCAUGGAUGCUUCAGAUUCAAGGGGCAUUUCGCCUUGUGCUUCCCGCAGACUCCAAAGGGCAUCAUGAGCAGCAGAAGGAGCAACAGAAGGAGCAGGGAUCUCAUUCUGGCUCUGCCUCCUCCUCCUCUUACCUGCAC